UACGAAGGGAGCUAGCGUUGUUCGGAAUCACUGGGCGUAAAGCGCACGUAGGCGGAUUUGCCAGUCAGGGGUGAAAUCCCGGGGCUCAACCUCGGAACUGCCUUUGAUACAGCAAGUCUUGAGUUCGAGAGAGGUGGGUGGAAUUCCUAGUGUAGAGGUGAAAUUCGUAGAUAUUCGCAAGAACACCAGUGGCGAAGGCGGCUCACUGGCCCAUUACUGACGCUGAGGCACGAAAGCGUGGGAGCAAACAGGG
rnacentral:rRNA from 1 species